rnacentral:rRNA from 1 species
UAAUACAUGCAAGUCGAGCGAAUGGAUUAAGAGCUUGCUCUUAUGAAGUUAGCGGCGGACGGGUGAGUAACACGUGGGUAACCUACCCAUAAGACUGGGAUAACUCCGGGAAACCGGGGCUAAUACCGGAUAAUAUUUUGAACUGCAUAGUUCGAAAUUGAAAGGCGGCUUCGGCUGUCACUUAUGGAUGGACCCGCGUCGCAUUAGCUAGUUGGUGAGGUAACGGCUCACCAAGGCGACGAUGCGUAGCCGACCUGAGAGGGUGAUCGGCCACACUGGGACUGAGACACGGCCCAGACUCCUACGGGAGGCAGCAGUAGGGAAUCUUCCGCAAUGGACGAAAGUCUGACGGAGCAACGCCGCGUGAGUGAUGAAGGCUUUCGGGUCGUAAAACUCUGUUGUUAGGGAAGAACAAGUGCUAGUUGAAUAAGCUGGCACCUUGACGGUACCUAACCAGAAAGCCACGGCUAACUACGUGCCAGCAGCCGCGGUAAUACGUAGGUGGCAAGCGUUAUCCGGAAUUAUUGGGCGUAAAGCGCGCGCAGGUGGUUUCUUAAGUCUGAUGUGAAAGCCCACGGCUCAACCGUGGAGGGUCAUUGGAAACUGGGAGACUUGAGUGCAGAAGAGGAAAGUGGAAUUCCAUGUGUAGCGGUGAAAUGCGUAGAGAUAUGGA